rnacentral:rRNA from 1 species
CAAGUCGAACGCGAAAGUCCCCUUCGGGGGGCGAGUAGAGUGGCGUCCGGGUGAGUAACACGUAGGUAAUCUACCUUUGGGUGGGGAAUAACGCAGGGAAACUUGCGCUAAUACCGCAUAAUGCAGCGGCACCACAUGGUGACAGUUGUUAAAGCGGGGGAUUUUCGAACCUCGCGCCUAAAGAGGAGCCUGCGGCAGAUUAGCUAGUUGGUAAGGUAACGGCUUACCAAGGCAACGAUCUGUAGCCGGCCUGAGAGGGCGGUCGGCCACACUGACACUGACAUACGGGUCAGACUCCUACGGGAGGCAGCAGUCGGGAAUUUUGGGCAAUGGGCGAAAGCCUGACCCAGCAACGCCGCGUGAAGGAUGAAAUCCCUCGGGAUGUAAACUUCGCAAGAAUAGGAAGAAUUAGCGAGUACUAAUACUGCUCGUGAUGACGGUACUAUUUGUAAGCUCCGGCUAACUCCGUGCCAGCAGCCGCGGUAAUACGGGGGGAGCAAGCGUUGUUCGGAUUUACUGGGCGUAAAGGGCGCGUAGGCGGUCAGCACAAGUCAGUUGUGAAAUCUCCGGGCUUAACUCGGAAAGGUCAACUGAUACUGUGCGACUAGAGUGCAGAAGGGGCAACUGGAAUUCUCGGUGUAGCGGUGAAAUGCGUAGAUAUCGAGAGGAACACCUGCGGCGAAGGCGGGUUGCUGGGCUGACACUGACGCUGAUGCGCGAAAGCCAGGGGAGCGAACGGGAUUAGAUACCCCGGUAGUCCUGGCCUUAAACGAUGGAUGCUUGGUGUCUGGAGUUUUAUAGUCUCCGGGUGCCGUAGCUAACGCGUUAAGCAUCCCGCCUGGGGAGUACGGUC